rnacentral:rRNA from 2 species
UAGGGAAUUGUUCGCAAUGGGCGAAAGCCUGACGACGCAACGCCGCGUGGAGGACGAAGACCUUCGGGUUGUAAACUCCUGUCGAGCGGGAAGAACUGCCCGCGGGCCAAUACCCCGCGGGCUUGACGGUACCGCUAAAGGAAGCCCCGGCUAACUCCGUGCCAGCAGCCGCGGUAAUACGGGGGGGGCAAGCGUUGUUCGGAUUUACUGGGCGUAAAGGGCUCGUAGGCGGCCGUCCAAGUCGGUUGUGAAAUCCCCGGGCUCAACUCGGGAAUUGCAGCCGAAACUGGACGGCUAGAAGCCGGGAGAGGGAUGCGGAAUUCCAGGUGUAGCGGUGAAAUGCGUAGAUAUCUGGAGGAACACCCGUGGCGAAGGCGGCAUCCUGGACCGGUCUUGACGCUGAGGAGCGAAAGCUAGGGUAGCAAACGGG